rnacentral:rRNA from 1 species
CCUACGGGUGGCAGCAGUGGGGAAUAUUGGUCAAUGGACGAGAGUCUGAACCAGCCAAGUAGCGUGAAGGAUGACUGCCCUAUGGGUUGUAAGCUUCUUUUAUAUGGGAAUAAAACAGGGUAUGCAUACCCUCUUGUAUGUACCAUAUGAAUAAGGAUCGGCUAACUCCGUGCCAGCAGCCGCGGUAAUACGGAGGAUCCGAGCGUUAUCCGGAUUUAAUGGGUUUAAAGGGAACGUAGGUGGAUUGUUAAGUCAGUUGUGAAAGUUUGCGGCUCAACCGUAAAAUUGCAGUUGAAACUGGCAGUCUUGAGUAUAGUAGAGGUGGGUGGAAUUCGUGGUGUAGCGGUGAAAUGCGUAGAGAUCAGGAAGAAUUCCGAUUGCGAAGGCAGCUCCCUGGACUGCAACUGACACUGAUGCGCGAAAGUGUGGGUAUCAAACAGGAUUAGAUACCCUUGUAGUC